rnacentral:rRNA from 1 species
UACGUAGGGUGCAAGCGUUAAUCGGAAUUACUGGGCGUAAAGCGUGCGCAGGCGGUUCUGUAAGUCUGUCGUGAAAUCCCCCGGGCUUAACCUGGGAAUUGCGAUGGAGACUGCAAGGCUAGAAUCUGGCAGAGGGGGGGUAGAAUUCCACGUGUAGCAGUGAAAUGCGUAGAGAUGUGGAGGAACACCAAUGGCGAAGGCAGCUCGCUGGGACGUGACUGACGCUGAGACGCGAAAGCGUGGGGGAGCAAACAGGG